rnacentral:rRNA from 1 species
AACGAACGCUGGCGGCAGGCCUAACACAUGCAAGUCGAACGCCGUAGCAAUACGGAGUGGCAGACGGGUGAGUAACGCGUGGGAACAUGCCCUUCGGCUCGGAAUAACUCAGGGAAACUUGAGCUAAUACCGGAUAUGUCCAAGGAAACUUGGAGAAAGAUUUAUCGCCGGAGGAUUGGCCCGCGUCUGAUUAGCUAGUUGGUGGGGUAAUGGCUCACCAAGGCGACGAUCAGUAGCUGGUCUGAGAGGAUGAUCAGCCACAUUGGGACUGAGACACGGCCCAAACUCCUACGGGAGGCAGCAGUGGGGAAUAUUGGACAAUGGGCGCAAGCCUGAUCCAGCCAUGCCGCGUGAGUGACGAAGGCCUUAGGGUUGUAAAGCUCUUUUGCCCGGGAAGAUAAUGACGGUACCGGAAGAAUAAGCCCCGGCUAACUUCGUGCCAGCCGCCGCGGUAAGAC